rnacentral:rRNA from 1 species
GACGAACGCUGGAGGCGUGCUUAACACAUGCAAGUCGAACGAUGAAAUGGAGCUUGCUCCAUGGAUUAGUGGCGAACGGGUGAGUAACACGUGAAUAACCUGCCCUUAAUUUUGGAAUAACCCAGGGAAACCUGGGCUAAUACCGGAUAAGUAAACCUGUGGCAUCACAUGGUUUUGGAAAGUUUUUCGAUUAAGGAUGGAUUCGCGGCCUAUCAGCUUGUUGGUGAGGUAAUGGCUCACCAAGGCGACGACGGGUAGUCGGCCUGAGAGGGUGAACGGCCACACUGGGACUGAGACACGGCCCAGACUCCUACGGGAGGCAGCAGUGGGGAAUAUUGCGCAAUGGACGAAAGUCUGACGCAGCGACGCCUCGUGAGGGACGAAGGUCUUCGGAUUGUAAACCUCUUUCAGCAGGGACGAAGCGAAAGUGAUGGUACCUGCAGAAGAAGCACCGGCUAACUAUGUGCCAGCCGCCGCAGUAA